UUGAACGCUGGCGGCAUGCUUUACACAUGCAAGUCGAACGGCAGCACGGGGGCAACCCUGGUGGCGAGUGGCGAACGGGUGAGUAAUAUAUCGGAACAUAUCCGGGAGUGGGGGAUAACGUAGCGAAAGUUACGCUAAUACCGCAUAUGCCCUGAGGGGGAAAGUGGGGGAUCGCAAGACCUCACGCUUUCGGAGUGGCCGAUAUCGGAUUAGCUAGUUGGUGGGGUAAAGGCCCACCAAGGCGACGAUCCGUAGCUGGUCUGAGAGGACGACCAGCCACACUGGGACUGAGACACGGCCCAGACUCCUACGGGAGGCAGCAGUGGGGAAUUUUGGACAAUGGGGGCAACCCUGAUCCAGCCAUGCCGCGUGAGUGAAGAAGGCCUUCGGGUUGUAAAGCUCUUUCGGGAGGAUGAGGAAGGACGGUACUCCCGGAAUAAGUCUCGGCUAACUACGU
rnacentral:rRNA from 1 species